AACUACAAUAAUUACCUUGCAGGACGAAGGCUGCAUCUAAUGGCUGUUAAUCAGACAGACGCUAGAGGCUGUUCCUAGAUGUUAACGGACUUCAGGUCACCUAAAUUACAAUGUCCAGUGUCAGUGGAAUCACCAUAGCAAAGCAUUGAGCUAAUGCUUUUCUAUGGGGAUGGCCUAAUGCGCUCGCUGCGGCGGAUAGGCUCAGAUUGUCAGCUGACGCUCUCAGUCAG